CUAGUCACAUGCCAUUAUAGCCGUUACGUGAGUGGUGGACCAAAUAUUAUACGUGCAUUAAACUCAUUAAUCAUCCCACAUACCAAGUCCAAUGGUAAAUUGAACAUGAUAGCCAGAAUAAAGGGUCUCAACAUAUCCAAUAGGCUCAAAGGCAAGAAACCAGCCACCCAGAGACUGUAUAAAAGCCAAACCUCCAUCAAACGAAGUUAAUUGUUAAUAAAACUAAAAACCUUACUUCUUUGCAAUCGCUUAUUCUAAGUCUAACUUAGGUACCAGAAGUCUUU
rnacentral:lncRNA from 1 species